GAAGAUGUUAUGAUGAUGUCAUAGUAGCAUGUCAAACGGAAGACGCUAUGGUGAUGUUACUUGACCGGAAGAGGGGGGUGCCUGUGAGACAAGGUGUGAGAUCAUAUGAGGUGAUUUAACCAGGUCAUUUAAAAGACUCCGGGGUCCUUGGGCAACUCACUGGACUGCCUCUUCUUGUCCCUCCUCAGCUAUCAGAAGGGCUUUGCUGAGAGGAGAAGGUGGCUGUGACAGAACGGCAGCCCUGUAAGGAUGCUGUGAGAGACCCUCCCGGAGGCUCCACUGCGUUGUGGGACACGGAAGUUUCCAUGGGAAGUACCGAUCUCGCCCUGCCCACUUGGUUUCACGCUGCAUACUGUGCUGAGGACGGAGCUGGCAUUUCAGCGUGAACACUAAGUGGUGACUCAGAACCAACAGAAGUGUGGACCGCUGUUUACUCAAAAGGAAGCCUCUGGUGUGACAAACGAGAGUGGGCUGCAACAUUGUGCAGGACUCAUGAGCCAAGCGGCUUGGAAAUAGCACAUACCACCGCGGCAGGUGAUUCAUCUCUCGUUCGAUCUUCUCAGGCAGGGCAUCAGACGCCAGCCCAGGCAGACCCAGAGCCGGCCGGGGGGAUGCUCGGUGCCUAAGUACUGUGGACAUCCUUAGUUUCCUAUGACACUGCCACUGACUUUGACGGUUCUGUGCGAGCGUAACACUUUCAGUCUAAUUAACCAUGUUGAACCAACCCGACCACCCCCCCCCGUGCCCCCCACACAGAGUGAAAAUUGUAAAGUUCAAAGGUCACACGUGAAUUUUCAGCUCACCAGAAGGUCCCUUAAUCUUUUUCUUGGAAUAUUUAAGGAAGAAAAAAAUAUAUUGAAAUCGAUCCGGUAGAAGGGAGCAAAGGGGUACGGGUAAUAAGGUAGUGUCUCAGGCCUCGAGCUAGCUCAGCUUCAGAGAUGGCCCAAACUUCCUCUGUAGGCCAGAGGCGACAGAGAUACUCAGUACAAAGAUCAGGAUUUGAAGCCUGUCCCUGGCACAGAUGGCAGGGGCAGCUCUGACUGGAUCCAAAUCUUUCCUAGUUAAUGCUUCCGGUCCCCCAAGUAGAGGCCAUAGUACUGCCCACCCCCCGCAGAGGCUGUGAAGCUCACAGCAUGGGCAUGAAACAGUGCUACUGUGGGUUGCACAGUAGGUACCCAACAAAUGACAGCCGAUUCUAUGAGGAUCAGGAAUCCAGCAAUGCUGGAUGUUGGGAAAGGCACUCAGCAUGACACUGCAAGGGACAUCUGAAGCUGCACUUGAAGGUGUCAGGGGCUUUUCCACCUCCACAUUGUUCUGUGGUUCUCAGACCUGUGAGGAACAGCCCUGUCUGCAGAGGAGAAAACUGAUGGAAUGAGGCUUGAGAACAUUUAGACACAGGUCUGCUUCCACACUCAUUGAGGUUGCUUCCUGCUGGGUAACAAAGUGCUUCCCCUCAGAAGAACCAGAGGUCGGUCUGCCGUCUGGAACUGGCUCGGAGGGCUCUCAGGAGACUGAUAUGUCUUCAACCCCAUCAUCCUCUCUACCAAGGGUUAUUCAGCAGUUACUAGUUGCAAUGGAUUCAUUCCUCCUUCCUCUUCCUCCCUCCCUUCUUUCCAACCUUCUUCCCUUCCUCCCUCCUUUCCUGUUUGGGGAAGAAGCACAGAAGAAGAAAGCCCAAAUGAAGGCUUACAGCAAUCACUGAUGGAGGAGAGAAAGCUUUCUAACCUGUCCUUCACUAUUUCUGACUAUUGUGUAAUAGGAGCUUUGUCUAACAUCCCUCAAAGGACUAUCAGGAAAUGGCACGCUGUGGCUAAUGUGUGUGCAGGGGAACCCUGGAGAAGGCUUCGAAGAAGGGAGUGCUUAGAAGAGGUAUCUUGACUACCCCGGACUCACCGGACACCAGGAGAUUGACAAAUGCGUCCUCAAGAACUGCGCAUACUAGGACAGAACACUGGAUGGGUACUGAAUGUACCCAGUGAAGUUAUAAGACUGGCUCGCUAAGCUGGAUAAGAGACGCAAAUAUUGAAUUAAUAGUCUAGGCAUACAUGCACAUGCUCACGCACAUGCACACACUCAUAAGUAGCAGUAGUAUCCUUCUGUCCCACCAGUGAGACCUCAUACAAUGCUACGGGGUAGCUGUCCGAGACCAUGAGUCCCUGAACAGAGAGGCCUAGGGCCAGCCACACCCAGCUUCCCUGGGAAGCCGUUUCCAUCUUAAGCUCCAACCCUUCAGCAUGACAUAACCUUUCUAUGGUGAAGAAAAAAAAAAAAGGCGAGCCUCAAGGGAAGUCCCUUGGCUUUCUGCAUGAGACUAAAUAAAGUCUGUGCUGGAAAACAUG
rnacentral:sRNA from 1 species